rnacentral:rRNA from 1 species
UGGGGAAUUUUGCGCAAUGGGGGAAACCCUGACGCAGCGACGCCUCGUGAGUGAUGAAGUCUUUCGGGAUGUAAAGCUCUGUCGGCAGGGACGAUUAUGACGGUACCUGCAAAGGAAGCUCCGGCUAACUACGUGCCAGCAGCCGCGGUAAUACGUAGGGAGCGAGCGUUGUCCGGAUUUAUUGGGCGUAAAGCGUGCGUAGGCUGUUCAGUAAGUUAGAUGUUAAAUGCAUGAGCUCAACUCAUGUUUGCCUCUAAUACUGCUGGACUGGAGGAUGGGAGAGGAAAGCGGAACUCACAGUGUAGCGGUGAAAUGCGUAGAUAUUGUGAGGAACACCUGUGGCGAAGGCGGCUUUCUGGACCAUUUCUGACGCUGAGGCACGAAAGCAUGGGGAGCAAGCAGG